rnacentral:ncRNA from 1 species
CAAAAGCUUGGUCCUAACUUUUCUGUCAGCUUUUACUAAACUUACACAUGCAAGUCUCCGCAAACCUGUGAGGAUGCCCUUAACGUCCCCCUUCGGACACUAGGAGCUGGCAUCAGGCACACAACUGUUCUGCCCAAGACGCCUUGCUUAGCCACACCCCCAAGGGAAUUCAGCAGUGAUAGACCUUAAACAAUGGGCGAAAGCCUGAAUUAGAGAAAGUAAAGAGGGCCGGUUAAACUCGUGCCAGCCGCCGCGGUUAUACGAGAGGCCCAAGUCGACAGAUUUCGGCGUAAAGGGUGGUUAGGAGAAAUACAACCUAGAGAAAAACGCUCUUCAAGCUGUUAUACGCCCCAAGAGUAAGAAGCCCCCACGCGAAAGCAACUCUAUAAGCAAUCUGAACCCACGACAGCUCUGACACAAACUGGGAUUAGAUACCCCACUAUGCCGAGCUUUAAACUUAGAUAUCUCACUACAAUAUUUAUCCGCCAGGGCACUACGAGCAACAGCUUAAAACCCAAAGGACUUGGCGGUGCUUCAGACCCCCCUAGAGGAGCCUGUUCUAGAACCGAUAAUCCCCGUUCAACCUCACCGCCCCUUGCCUUAUAAACCGCCUAUAUACCGCCGUCGUCAGCCUACCCUCUGAAAGAAAAGAAGUAAGCAAAACAGUUAAAAACAAAUACGUCAGGUCGAGGUGUAGCGUAUGAGGCGGGAAGAAAUGGGCUACAUUUUCUGACUCAGAAAAUCACGGAAGGGAUAGUGAAACUUAACCCCAAAGGCGGAUUUAGCAGUAAGCUGAAAUAGAACAUUUAGCUGAAAUCGGCUCUGAAGCGCGCACACACCGCCCGUCACUCUCCCCAAAACAUAUACCCUUAUAUAUAAUACAAUGAAUAACAAAGGGGAGGCAAGUCGUAACAUGGUAAGUGUACCGGAAGGUGCACUUGGACAAC